UCCAGACUCCUACGGAGGCAGCAGUGGGGAAUAUUGGGCAAUGGGCGCAAGCCUGACCCAGCAACGCCGCGUGAAGGAAGAAGGCUUUCGGGUUGUAAACUUCUUUUAAGAGGGAAGAGUAGAAGACGGUACCUCUUGAAUAAGCCACGGCUAAAUACGUGCCAGCAGCCGCGGUAAUACGUAUGGUGCAAGCGUUAUCCGGAAUGACUGGGUGUAAAGGGAGCGUAGACGGUUGUACAAGUCUGAUGUGAAAGCCCACGGCUCAACUGUGGGAGUGCAUUGGAAACUGUAGAACUAGAGUAUCGGAGAGGCAAGUGGAGUUCCUAGUGUAGCGGUGAAAUGCGUUGAUAUUAGGAGGAACACCAGUGGCGAAGGCGGCUUGCUGGACGAAAACUGACGUUGAGGCUCGAAAGCGUGGGGAGCAAACAGGAUUAGAUACCCCAGUAUAU
rnacentral:rRNA from 1 species